AUGGGUUUUAAGACUAUUUGGGGAGGGGGCACAUCUUUAUCCGAAAGGAAGGCUCCAACAACACCCUCCCUCUCACCCCCAAGGAGAGAGGAGCUGGGAGCCAGCCUGCAACUCCUAAUGCACGCGCUGGCUCGGGGACGGGGGUGCCCGGCCGGUGGUCCCGACGCCCGCAAACAGGCGUCCGUCACGUCUGAUUGACAAGGGCCCUUUAAAGAGAAGAAAGAGGCUGCGGGUUGCAGGAGAACUCCUCUG
rnacentral:lncRNA from 1 species